AUGGUGGUAAGUAUGGCCGUGAACACCGGUUCUCGUCCGAUAUCCGAAGUUAAGCAAUGUCGGGCCCGGUCAGUACUUGGGAGGGUGACCACCUGGGAACACCGGGUGCUGUAGGCU